AGAGAGGCUUGGCUUCAAGAUGGAUGCCAAGAAGGGAGCUUUGCCUUGCCCACCUCCCUUAACUAAUGACAAUUAUUCAUCUUGGUCUGUAAAGAUGAAGGCCCUGCUGCAGAAUCAGAGGCUUUUUGAUGUAAUUGAAAACCCCAUCCCUGCAGCACCAACCAGAGGUUGGGAAUCACAGAACGUGAGGGCCAGGACUGCUAUAAUUCUGUGUGUCUCAGAUGAUCAAUUGGUGCAUAUUCAGGAUUUAGAAAAUGCGAAAGAGGUUUGGGAUACGCUACGUACAACGCAUCAGAGAGAUGCUGGUUCUUCAGCGUUGCUGUAUUUUGAGAAGUUGACCAAUCUGAGAUUAGCGCCUGAUGGAGAUGUUCAAGCGCACCUGACAGAAAUGAAGUUUCUGCGUCAACAGAUGGUGGAAUGCAAUUUCCGUCUACAGGAGGAAGUGUUUUGCUUCAUGAUGAUAAACAGCCUGAAUCGGACUUACAAGGUUGUUGCCAGUCAGCUUGGUUCCCUACCAGCGGCAGACCUGACUUCGGAGAGAGUGUGUGCGGUGGUUCUGAAUGAACACGACAGACUUGCUGCACUGGAAGUGAAGGACAGGGGGAGGGAAGAACAGAGUUCAAAUUCCCCCACUGCUGAUGCUACUGGAGAGCGUGUUGUAGCAUUGAGUGCCGUCCGAUGCUACAAUUGUGGACAGACUGGGCAUCUACAGCGGAACUGUAGGAAGCCGCGACAGUCAAGAGGAGCAAAGAGCAGCUCUACGAAGCCUGAGGCGACAGGCAAAAGCCGUACCAAGUGCCAGGUGAAACCUGCAAAGGCUAUGAUGGCGAAAGGAAUCACGCCAGAUGUUGGGAACGCAUUCAUAAUUGACACUGGCGCCACAAAACACAUGUGCCCGCACCGAGAACUGUUUUCGAUGUUGAAGAAGCAAAGCUUCACUGUGAAACAGGCCAACGGUCAAGAGUUGGAAGCGACCGGAAUUGGGACUGUGUAUCUUGAGAGUCUGAACUUGACUAUAAGCAAUGUUUACCUGGUUCCAGAACUGAGAUUUAAUCUGCUGAGUGUGUCGCAGAUUGCAAAGAAAGGACUGAAACUGUCCUAUGAUGCUAAAAGCUGCAAGAUCUACAAAGAUGGAGAACUGUAUCUUACUGCCAGAGAGAAAGAUGGACUGUAUUUGUUGACUUUUGAUCAAAGUGAUUACAUGAAAUGUAAUUCUUCUGAUUCUAACGAAAUUUCUCUUGCAGGUUUGACCAACAAGAACACCAGGAAGGUGAACAAGAAGGUCGACAGAGCAUUUCAGCGGGUGUAUGCUGAUGUGAUUGGUCCUCUAGAACCAUCUAGAGGCGGUGCAAAAUAUUACCUUGUGUGUGUUGAUUGUUUCACUAAUUAUUCUUGGGUUUUUAUGAUGGAGAAACCACAAGAGACCUUAGAGAGGUUUCAGGAGUUUUGUGACAAGGUUAAAAAUAUGCAUGAUGCUAAC
rnacentral:lncRNA from 1 species